rnacentral:lncRNA from 1 species
UGAAUUCAAAAGCUCAUGACUGUUCUCCCAGUGACCUGGUACUGCUUCUGUUUCUAUUCGCUUUGGUUUUGAGUGUGGUGUCAGUGAGUGUGGAGAGCUAGGUUAGCUAAAGCUAGGUUUACAUGCAUGCGAUCUGCUGCACAUUUUGAUGUGUGCACAGGAUUAUUAUAUUAUUUUGGCAAUUGCAAUAUUGCAAUUAAUUUUUCAAUAUGUACUAUUAAAUUACUCAAGAGCCACAAGUAUGAUUCUACUGAGCCGCGUGCGGCUCGCGAGCCACAGGUUGCCGAUCCCUGUCCUAGCCACUCCAGAUAAUCUUGCUCAUUGUGGACUAGAUUUACUCACAGAAGAAGAAACAGAGGUAAACUGCUCCACUGUCCCACUGCCUUGGGACAUGCUGGCAAUCCCAGCCCCCUCAACGGGUAAAUUGGA